rnacentral:rRNA from 1 species
UACGUAGGGCCCAAGCGUUGUUCGGAUUUACUGGUCGUAAAGGGCGCGUAGGCGGCUUGCCAAGUCACUUGUGAAAUCUCUGGGCUUAACCCAGAACGGCCAAGUGAAACUGGCAUGCUAGAGUGCAGAAGGGGCAAUCGGAAUUCUUGGUGUAGCGGUGAAAUGCGUAGAUAUCAAGAGGAACACCUGAGGUGAAGACGGGUUGCUGGGCUGACACUGACGCUGAGGCGCGAAAGCCAGGGGAGCAAACGGG